UGUGGUGUGCCUGUGUGUGGGUGUGUUUGUGUGUGGAGGCCAGAGGCUGAUGUGUCCUGUCUUCUUUCCACCAUAUGGAUUGAGGCACGGUCUCUCCCUCGAACCCAGAGCUCACCAGUUCAGCUGGUCUCCUUAGCCAGCUUGCUCUGGAGGUCCCUGGUCUCUGUCUUCUGGGUACUGGGAUUACUGGCAGGCCGUUACUCCUACCCAGCAUUUGGGAUUCCAUGUAACACAUUCUGUUGCUGUGGAUGGACUUGAACUCCAGAGCCUCUUGUCUUCCACGUGCUGGGAUUGCAGGUCUGUGGCCCUGAUGCUCCCAGGUCAUCUGGAGUCUGAUCAUGCCAGGAUAAAAAAUAAAUAAAGUAAAUAAAAGGAAGAAGGGGCCAUGUGACUCCUCUCUCUUCUCUUUUUAAGAGGUCAAUUAGGAUGGCAAGAAGCACCAUCUCCUUCCAGCCUGUAUAGCCCAAGGUCCUGGGUGUAGCAAACACCAUUACAUUUCCUUUUUAUGUCUAAAUAAG